GCGGGGCUGGGGGCAGCUGGCGCCCUCGCUGCCUCGGUCUCUCUGUGGCGCGCUGAGGUCGUGUCCCAGCCCCCAGUGAGCGCUGGGGAAAAGCUUUGCCUCCCUCACCUGCAGAAAUGGGUCCAGUCAAAGCCAUUACCGCAGCCUCCCGGCUGUCUGUCUCUCUCUGGGGUCGGGCAGGGCUUCGGUGUGUGGGAGCUCCUCGCCUGUUGUGUGUUGGGGGCUGGGCAGAAGGUCUCAGCUUGGAAGCACCUGGCUUUUAAAGGAUGACAUGCAUCUGCUGCUCCAUGAAAGACACAAGGGCACUGCCAAAUACCUACUGGGAACAGGUUUCGCCUGUCCCUCAUAUCUUUCAGCUGCAGUAAAUGUAUUACGUAAUUGUAAGAGCAACACACCUUUCAGCCCUCAGGUCUUUUGGUAUACUUGAAAAGACUUUUGACCUCCAAGGAAUAUUGCUUACCCCACCCACCUCUUUCUAUAGAGAGGCAUAGUUCAGUUUUGAACAGCUGAUUAUGUGGCAGCACUGAUUUCAUUUACUGUGAGUACCAUUUUUGCAAUUUAGACCAAAUGCUUAACAAAAAUACAAAUCUGAUUAACUGCUGUUAAAGAUGGGGAAAUGUGAGUUGUGCUAUUUUAAGAAUGGAUUUGUUUGGUCAGUAAUUUAACUAUGUUUGACUUAUUAAAAGGUACUUUCAAAACUAAAA